CCCAAGUAUCUCCAACUCACCUCCCCAAAACACCUAUCCACUCGACCGCACAUCCACCCACCACAAACCACUCGAUCGCCCCGCCUUCGCCUCGCCUAGCCGAACCACUCGAUCGCAACACGGCGUGAAUAGGAAGUCACUUCCUUCACUCUCUCUCUUUGAUUUCGUCACUGACCUACUUACUUGUAGUUUUGAGCUUAAGCUGUUUCAGGAUUAACCAUGAGUUCUUACAGCUACCAAUCAUCCAUGGAUGCCGACUUCAAUGCUGGAGAAGCUGAAUCUUGGUCAACUAGGCCGAAAAGAGAAGUAGAAGAGUAUCAGCGGUUCAGAGAAGAAACAGAACUAGCUGUUGCUGAAGACCGAAGAUUAAGAGAAAUCGCAAGAGGG
rnacentral:lncRNA from 1 species